CCGCGGGAUAGAGUUUGAUCCUGGCUCGAAUCACCCUGGCGGCGUGCCUAACACAUGCAAGUCGAACGAGAAAGUGGAGCAAUCCACGAGUAAAGUGGCGCACGGGUGAGUAACACGUGACUAACCUACCCUUGAGUGAGGGAUAACCUAGGGAAACCUGGGCUAAUACCGCAUAAUACCUACGGGUCAAAGGAGCAAUUCGCUUAAGCGAGGGGGUCGCGGCCGAUUAGUUAGUUGGCGGGGUAAUGGCCCACCAAGACGAUGAUCGGUAUCCGGCCUGAGAGGGCGCACGGACACACUGGAACUGAAACACGGUCCAGACUCCUACGGGAGGCAGCAGUGGGGAAUUUUGCGCAAUGGGGGAAACCCUGACGCAGCAACGCCGCGUGGAGGAUGAAGUCCCUUGGGAUGUAAACUCCUUUCGAUCGGGACGAUUAUGACGGUACCGGAAGAAGAAGCCCCGGCUAACUUCGUGCCAGCAGCCGCGGUAAUACGAGGGGGGCAAGCGUUGUUCGGAAUUAUUGGGCGUAAAGGGUGCGUAGGCGGUCCUGCAAGUCUUGUGUGAAAUCUUCGGGCUCAACUCGAAGUCUGCACAGGAAACUGCCGGGCUUGAGUGUGGGAGAGGUGAGUGGAAUUCCCGGUGUAGCGGUGAAAUGCGUAGAUAUCGGGAGGAACACCAGUGGCGAAAGCGGCUCACUGGACCACAACUGACGCUGAGGCACGAAAGCUAGGGGAGCAAACAGGAUUAGAUACCCUGGUAGUCCUAGCCCUAAACGAUGAUCGCUUGGUGUGACGGGUACCCAAUCCCGCCGUGCCGAAGCUAACGCGUUAAGCGA
rnacentral:rRNA from 1 species